CUACGGGCUGCUCCAGUGGGGAAUAUUGCACAAUGGGCGCAAGCCUGAUGCAGCAACGCCGCGUGAGGGAUGAAGGCCUUCGGGUUGUAAACCUCUUUUAGCAGGGAAGAAGCGAAAGUGACGGUACCUGCAGAAAAAGCACCGGCUAACUACGUGCCAGCAGCCGCGGUAAUACGUAGGGUGCAAGCGUUGUCCGGAAUUAUUGGGCGUAAAGAGCUCGUAGGCGGUUUGUCACGUCUGCUGUGAAAAUCCAAGGCUCAACCUUGGACUUGCAGUGGGUACGGGCAGGCUAGAGUGCGGUAGGGGAGAUGGGAAUUCCUGGUGUAGCGGUGGAAUGCGCAGAUAUCAGGAGGAACACCAAUGGCGAAGGCACAUCUCUGGGCCGUAACUGACGCUGAGGAGCGAAAGCGUGGGGAGCAAACAGGAUUAGAUACCCCAGUAGUC
rnacentral:rRNA from 1 species